rnacentral:rRNA from 1 species
CAAUAAGCGGAGGAAAAGAAACCAACAGGGAUUGCCCCAGUAACGGCGAGUGAAGCGGCAACGGCUCAAAUUUGAAAUCUGGCCCCCAGGGCCCGAGUUGUAAUUUGCAGAGGAUGCUUUUGGCGCGGCGCCUUCCGAGUUCCCUGGAACGGGACGCCAUAGAGGGUGAGAGCCCCGUCUGGUCGGACGCCAAGCCAGUGUAAAGCUCCUUCGACGAGUCGAGUAGUUUGGGAAUGCUGCUCUAAACGGGAGGUAUAUGUCUUCUAAAGCUAAAUACCGGCCAGAGACCGAUAGCGCACAAGUAGAGUGAUCGAAAGAUGAAAAGCACUUUGAAAAGAGGGUUAAACAGUACGUGAAAUUGUUGAAAGGGAAGCGCUUGCGACCAGACUUGGGCCCGGUGAAUCAUCCAGCGUUCUCGCUGGUGCACUUCGCCGGGCUCAGGCCAGCAUCAGUUCGCCGCGGGGGACAAAAGCUUCGGGAACGUGGCUCCCUCGGGAGUGUUAUAGCCCGCUGCACAAUGCCCUGCGGGUGGACUGAGGUUCGCGCUCCGCAAGGAUGCUGGCGUAAUGGUCAUCAGCGACCCGUCUUGAAACACGGACCAAGGAGUCGUCUUCGUAUGCGAGUGUUCGGGUGCCAAACCCCUACGCGCAAUGAAAGUGAACGCAGGUGAGAGCUUCGGCGCAUCAUCGACCGAUCCUGAUGUUCUCGGAUGGAUUUGAGUAAGAGCAUACGGGGCCGGACCCGAAAGAAGGUGAACUAUGCCUGUAUAGGGUGAAGCCAGAGGAAACUCUGGUGGAGGCUCGCAGCGGUUCUGACGUGCAAAUCGAUCGUCAAAUAUGGGCAUGGGGGCGAAAGACUAAUCGAACCUUCUAGUAGCUGGUUUCCGCCGAAGUUUCCCUCAGGAUAGCAGUGUUGGGCUCAGUUUUAUGAGGUAAAGCGAAUGAUUAGGGACCCGGGGG